rnacentral:rRNA from 1 species
UACGUAGGGUGCGAGCGUUAAUCGGAAUUACUGGGCGUAAAGCGUGCGCAGGCGGCGCGUUAAGACAGGUGUGAAAGCCCCGAGCUUAACUUGGGAAUUGCGCUUGUGACUGGCGUGCUGGAGUGUGGCAGAGGGAGGUGGAAUUCCACGUGUAGCAGUGAAAUGCGCAGAUAUCAGGAGGAACACCGGUGGCGAAGGCGGAUCUCUGGGCCCUACCUGACGCUGAGGAGCGAAAGCAUGGGGAGCAAACAGG